rnacentral:rRNA from 1 species
GAUGAACGCUAGCUACAGGCUUAACACAUGCAAGUCGAGGGGUAGCACAGAAGAAGCUUGCUUCUUUGGGUGACGACCGGCGCACGGGUGAGUAACGCGUAUCCGACCUACCCAUAACUCGGGCACAGCCGCUCGAAAGUGUGAUUGAUUCACGAUAUGUCCUUGGAGUAGAGUCAAUGAUGAAAGAUUCAUAGGUUAUGGAUGGGGAUGCGUAGGAUUAGGUAGUAGGCGGGGUAACGGCCCACCUAGCCGACGAUCUUUAGGGGUUCUGAGAGGAAGGUCCCCCACACUGGUACUGAGACACGGACCAGACUCCUACGGGAGGCAGCAGUGAGGAAUAUUGGUCAAUGGGCGGAAGCCUGAACCAGCCAAGUAGCGUGAAGGAUUACAGCCCUACGGGUUUUAAACUUCUUUUAUAUAAGAGUAAUGUGCACUACAUGUAGUGUAUUGCAAGUAUUAUAUGAAUAAGCAUCGGCUAACUCCGUGCCAGCCGCCGCCGUAACAC